CCGCAUAUCCGCAUGUGCCCGCCUACCAAGUUAUUAAUUCAGCCCCUUCUGCGUUGCUAUUGGCUGCACUAGCCGCGUAGGGUGAGGCUAGUCAGGGUCUCGAUACAGAAAGGAGGUGGUGACGGCGUGGGGAAUUUUUGGUUGUUUCCGUUUCCGGCGCGGUGAGCUCUGUGGCGCGGGGCCGGCGUUGUGAGGCACCUUAGAGGUUGGUGAUUCAAAUCACCUGCUCUGAAGAAAUCUGAAUGUGGCUUCAGUGGGAAUUUUAAGGACAUCUUAUGCACCCCUAAUGUUGCAGAUGUUUCUGCUGGGGAAGUCAAUCUCAUCUCAUUAUGAAGACCUGUAAUAUAUGAUAAAAAUAAGUAACAUUUAAGUGAAAUUGCAGAGUUUAUACAAUCCCUCUAAUUUGUUCUUGUAAUCUGAAUUGGAUUGCCUAUUAUAAUGGGUACCUAGUUGCUAAAUUGAUUUGUAGCACACUUCCAAUGAACUAGUUAAACUCUAUAGUUCUUGUACUGUUGACAUUGCUUAUGCUACAUAAUACAACAUUAUUCAGUACCACACAACUGACCCUUGUGUAACUCUUGGCUUCCUGGGAUACAAAACUAGCUAUACAUCUUUGGAUAAAUAAAAAGACUAUUAGUAAACACUUGUGAAAUAUGCUAAGACUUAACUGUAGUCACUCACUUGCCUGUUUCUUUCAAUAAAAAAGGAAUACAAAUGCUUUCUGCAACUCCUCACACAACUGUCACUAGUAGUUAAAGGCUAGCAUCUAUUCUAGUAUUCCAGAAUGCAAGUGAGAUUAGGAAGCUCAUUUAAACUUCAUUUUGAUCAGUUUGUUACUCCAAUACCAGAAGUUGAAGUGACUUGAGUGGCAUCUAGAACCC